rnacentral:rRNA from 1 species
AGGGAACUGAAACAUCUAAGUACCUGGAGGAAAGGACAUCAAUCGAGACUCCGUUAGUAGUGGCGAGCGAACGCGGACCAGGCCAGUGAUACAUCAAAGACAAUCGGAACCAGUCAGGAAAGCUGGGCCUCAGAGGGUGAUAGCCCCGUACGAGUAAUGCGAUGAUGUAUCCACGAGUAAGGCGGGACACGUGUAAUCCUGUCUGAACACGGGGGGACCACCCUCCAAGCCUAAGUACUCCUCAGCGACCGAUAGUGAACCAGUACCGUGAGGGAAAGGUGAAAAGCACCCCGACGAGGGGAGUGAAAUAGACCUGAAACCGGACACCUACAAACAGAUGGAGCCCAAGAUACGUUCUGGGUGACAUCGUACCUUUUGUAUUAUGGGCCAGCG